rnacentral:rRNA from 1 species
CACGUAGGGUGCGAGCGUUGUCCGGAAUUAUUGGGCGUAAAGAGCUCGUAGGCGGUCCGUCGCGUCGAAUGUGAAAACCCGGGGCUCAACCCCGGGCCUGCAUUCGAUACGGGCGGACUAGAGUUCGGUAGGGGAGACUGGAAUUCCUGGUGUAGCGGUGAAAUGCGCAGAUAUCAGGAGGAACACCGGUGGCGAAGGCGGGUCUCUGGGCCGAUACUGACGCUGAGGAGCGAAAGCGUGGGGAGCAAACAGG